GAUGAACGCUGGCGGCGUGCCUAAUACAUGCAAGUCGAACGCACAGCGAAAGGUGCUUGCACCUUUCAAGUGAGUGGCGAACGGGUGAGUAACACGUGGACAACCUGCCUCAAGGCUGGGGAUAACAUUUGGAAACAGAUGCUAAUACCGAAUAAAACUCAGUGUCGCAUGACACAAAGUUAAAAGGCGCUUUGGCGUCACCUAGAGAUGGAUCCGCGGUGCAUUAGUUAGUUGGUGGGGUAAAGGCCUACCAAGACAAUGAUGCAUAGCCGAGGUCAGAGACUGAGCGGCCACAUUGGGACUGAGACACGGCCCAAACUCCUACGGGAGGCUGCACUAGGGAAUCUUCCACAGUGGGCGAAAGCCUGCUGGAGCAACGCCGCGUGUGUGAUGAAGGCUUUCGGGUCGUAAAGCACUGUUGUAUGGGAAGAACAGCUAGGAUAGGGAAUGAUUUUAGUUUGACGGUACCAUACCAGAAAGGGACGGCUAAAUACGUGCCAGCAGCCGCGGUAA
rnacentral:rRNA from 1 species